UACACAGGGUUCCUUUUAGUCUCUAAUCAUCCUGUCAGUGAUUACACAUCUGUGGUCUUGGGGGCCACACAUAUCCAACAGGAGGGAGAGAACAACAUGAGCAGAGAAUACCACUCACUGCCUUGGGCCCAGAGCCUCUUUACUGUUUCUACUCAUGAAUGCUACUGCUUCAGAUUCUUGAAGCUGUUGGGAUUCUGAACCUGCUGUGACCUUCAAGAUUCUAUUGAUAUCUCCAGUCUUUCCUCAAACUGUGGACUUAACCCCUUCUUGCUCUCUGCUGACUUCAGACUUCUGUUUUAUGAGUCCCAGUUUGCAGGACAUCUUGGAUUCCUGGCUGGCCGCCUCUCCUGACUUCAGAUUCAUAUUUGUUCAACUCUGUUCAAAACAGUGACUCAAGCUCCAGUCAUCAUGCCAUAUUCCAGCCAGAAGGAAGGUAGCAGAAUGGAGGGAAGAAAGGCUUUAGGGGAAGAAAACAGAGAUUGGCAGCUCUGGAUAUUGCUGACUAUGUCUUGGGUGCUGGAGAGAAACAAACUGAGAGCAGCCCUGAGUUCAUAGUUGAUGCUGUCCCACCACUCGGCUACAUCCAGUUGCGAAGAUUUUAUAAGAAGAAACUAAAUCUUCCCAAGAACUCAAGUCUGAGGGGGAAAAAAAAACCAAACUCACAUACAUGAGAAUGGUAAACAUUUUCAA